GCCUCAGUAACGGCGAGUGAAGCGGCAAAAGCUCAGAUUUGAAAUCUGGCGUCAUAUUGGCGUCCGAGUUGUAAUCUGUAGAGGAGUAUUCGAGUGUGGCGCUGGCUUAAGUUCCUUGGAACAGGACGUCCUAGAGGGUGAGAACCCCGUUAACGGCCUUUGUCUUAUGCUCAUGUGAAUCUCCUUCAACGAGUCGAGUUGUUUGGGAAUGCAGCUCUAAAUGGGUGGUAAAUUCCAUCUAAAGCUAAAUACUGGCAAGAGACCGAUAGCGCACAAGUAGAGUGAUCGAAAGAUGAAAAGAACUCUGAACAGAGAGUUAAAUAGUACGUGAAAUUGUUGAAAGGGAAGCACUUGCUACCAGACACGCCUGUAGUUGAUCAACCUUCAUUCUUGAUGGUGCACUCAGCUAUAGGUGGGUCAGCAUCAGUUAUGGCGGUGGGAUAAAGACCUGGGGAAUGUGGCUUCUCUCGGGAAGUGUUAUAGCCCUGGGUGUAAUACCGCCUGCUGUGACUGAGGACCGCGCUUCGGCGAGGAUGCUGGCAUAAUGGUCGUAAGUGACCCGUCUUGAAACACGGACCAAGGAGUCUAACAUCUAUGCGAGUGUUUGGGUGUCAAAACCCUUACGCGGAAUGAAAGUGAAUGUAGGUGGGAACCGCAAGGUGCACCAUCGACCGAUCCUGAUGUCUUCGGAUGGAUUUGAGUAGGAGCAUA
rnacentral:rRNA from 1 species